UGCGGUGUGCGUCCGGUGACGCAUUGAGUCUCAUAAGCUCGAGCGAUGGGUUCGACUCCCAUCACCGCACCCA
rnacentral:tRNA from 1 species